GGAAAGUGAUAGUGAGUGGACGUGUCGUCGCAGCCGGCUUCGAAAAUUCUACUACGCAAUUAUUACCCGAUUAUUGGUAUGAUUUGAAAGGCGGGAAGAAUUUCAAUAUGGACGCCAUCGUACUUUUUGAAGAAAAAGUUUGAUGUUUCAUUUUACUACAAUUAUUGUGAUCGCGCGCAAUGCGAUCGGUAGAUUCAGUGUUUGUUUCGUAACAGUUUUUUAAUAUUUUAGAGCGCGAUAGCUCUAAUUAAAUUUACUUAUUAUAAUCGGGAAAUUAGAAUCAGUGUUUAUUCGCCGAUUGUAAAUUAAACGGACGCGUUAAUAGUUUUUUAUUUUUAUUUUUUUUAUUUUUAAUAUUCGUUUUCGGUACAGAGUAGAGUCAGUGUUUCUCUAAGGAAGAAGGCAGUCAUCCAUCACGCGAAGAGAUGCCUGACUUUGCCAGUGAACAUUUCUGUUGGAUUUCAAUUUUAAAUAACGUUUUGUGACCGCGUGCAAUGCGGUCUGUAGAAUCAGUGUUUGUUCCGUAACA